rnacentral:rRNA from 1 species
AGAGUUUGAUCAUGGCUCAGGACGAACGCUGGCGGUGUGCUUCACACAUGCAAGUCGAACGAGGUAGCAAUACCUAGUGGCGGACGGGUGAGUAACGCGUGGGAAUCUGCCUUAAGAUGGGGGAUAGCUGGCCGAAAGGCUAAUUAAUACCGCAUACGCGUAUAUUUCGACAGAUUUAUACGUAAAAGGAGUAAUCCGGC